rnacentral:rRNA from 1 species
AGUGAACGCUGGCGGUAGGCCUAACACAUGCAAGUCGAACGGCAGCACAGUAAGAGCUUGCUCUUACGGGUGGCGAGUGGCGGACGGGUGAGGAAUACAUCGGAAUCUACUUUUUCGUGGGGGAUAACGUAGGGAAACUUACGCUAAUACCGCAUACGACCUACGGGUGAAAGCAGGGGAUCUUCGGACCUUGCGCGAUUGAAUGAGCCGAUGUCGGAUUAGCUAGUUGGCGGGGUAAAGGCCCACCAAGGCGACGAUCCGUAGCUGGUCUGAGAGGAUGAUCAGCCACACUGGAACUGAGACACGGUCCAGACUCCUACGGGAGGCAGCAGUGGGGAAUAUUGGACAAAGGGCGCAAGCCUGAUCAAGCCAUACCGCGUGGGUGAAGAAGGCCUUCGGGUUGUAAAGCCCUUUUGUUGGGAAAGAAAAGAAGCAGGUUAAUACCCCGCUGUUCUGACGGUACCAAAAGAAUAAGCACCGGCUAACUUCGUG